GGAACGGAACCACUGGGCCGCAGCGACCACAGGGGAGUUCUUCGCCGGCCGCAGGUUCAAAGCGAUCUGCAAUGAGCGCCUUUAGGAAUUCAUUCGAAGGCGCAAAAGAAAAAGAAAUUAAGGCAGGAACUGAGCGAGGAAGGAAGGGAGGGAAAGAAAGGAAGAAAGAGAAAAAGAGAAAGAAACAGAAAGAACAGGCAAAAGCUGAAAGGGUCAUGGGAGGAGGCUGCUGGUUCCAGUGAAUGGCGCUGACCCCACUGAGAGCAACACCUUGCUGGAGGCCUCAAACACUGAAAGAAAGACAUGCAAAGGAAAUAAUUCAGGACCAACUGGUGGGCUCCAAAAAUCUCUUCUAUGAGGAAGGUGAAUGCAGGCUCUGCUACGUCCUGCCUGUGAAAGAAUCCCUUCAGGAAACCAGAGCUUCCCUCGUUUACCUUUUCUCCUACAAAGGGAAGCAGCCUGGAAGAAAGAGUCCAGUACUUGACCCAUGCCUCAACAAACUCUGCUAUCAAUAUGGUGCAGCUUACCAAAGGUCCUAGAACUUUGUCAACGCACUUGGAGUAAUUUUUAUGAAAUAUUGUGUGUGAUAAGCAAACUGUGGAAAUUUAUAUAAGAUGUUGGUGGCAUAGAGUUAUACGAUUGUGUAUUAAGGGUAGUUUUAGGAUGUCAUUUUUUUUUCAGUUCAUCAUGACAGAAGUCCUUUUCAUGAGAGAAGUCACAUGAGAAAAAACUUUCUUAUAUUGUAAGCUCCUUCUAUAGUGGUAUGUGCAUUUAAUGACAUCCAACUAAAGAUGGUGUAAUACCACGGUGGUUUGACUUAGAGUUUUUUAACUUUAUAUCUGGUUUAUCUGGGUAUUACAUGCGUUUUAAAUGUGGAUCUUUUCAACUUACGAUGAGAUUAUCAAGACAUAGCCCCAUGCUAAGUCAUGAGCAUGUGGACUUAUAAUGGUUCAAUUUAGAUUUUUCGGCUUUAAGAUAGGAUUAUUGGGGCUUACCCCCAUCUUAAGUAGAGAAACAUCUGUAUUGUGUAAUACUAUAUGAUGUACAUUUUUCUGUUUUCCUAUUUUCGUGCAUGUUGAUGUAAGCAUGGAAAAAUUUUAGGAAAUGUAUUUAUUAGGCUGUUUACAUGGGCUGCCUGGUGCAAAUCAGCAGUCAAAAAUGACUACAUACACAACUAGCAAUGGGAGGAGAAAUCCUCCCUCUGUGGGAGGCACUGACUACAUUCCAGUUCUCCCUCCUACGCCCAGAGACUGGACCAGGGUUUGAUGACUGGCAACUUCUCAAGGGGCCGGUCUGUCUUAGUUGAUGAUUUUAGAGGUAUAUAGAGGUAUUUAUUUACAAAUAAACAAAUAUUUAUUUAUAAGUAGAUGUUUACAUAUGCCCAGGAUUUUGAAGAGCCUGGUAUCUUUGGGAAGCCAUGUGUCUGGUCUGUCCUGCUGGGACAGUCAUGGGACUGCAUCUUCGUCCUUGUCCACAGCAGAUGAGGACAGUGAGAAUUAGGUUAGAUCUGGGACUACAAAUAGCUUCUCUUUCAAGUGCCAUUACAGCUGAACAUUAGUGAAUCUUGGGCCUUCUUUGGGCUCAGGGCAGAGCAGGUGUUUAUCUGCCCCGGCAUCUGCUAUGGCAUCAAGAGGGAAGAGUGGACGGUGCCUGGGAAUGGUGUGAAAUGAUUGCUGACUCAGGAGUGGAUGGGCCCCUCUCGCUUCUGGUGGUCUGUGACCCUGAGCCCCUGAGCUGCAUUUUACGGUAAAGAUUCCUGAGCUGCAGCAUCUGACUCAUCUCAGAAAUAUCAAUUCUUAAACACUGUGACAACAGGACCUAGAAUGGCUGACACAUUAAGGCUUUGUCCUUGUGUCACGCUCUAUUAUUUUAUUUAAAAACUUCAGUAAUCAUUUUAGCCUCUUUCCAGCAAACUCUUCUCCAUAGCAGUCCAGUAGUGGUAGGAUAAAUUAUGGAUGUAGUCGUUCAAGGGAUUUUGGUCUUUUCCAUCUCAAGCCAUGUGUUUUGUCUUGUUCCGGGACUGGUUUGGCUGGGACAAAGUUAGAAUUGCCUGAAGAUUUAGGCACAUUCAGUGUUGUGUCCAUGGAGUUUUAGGAGGGGGUAGCCUUUCUGGUCUUUGCACUUCCAUCCUCUCCCACUUCCAUCUGGCGUCCCAUGCGUUGUCCCCUGCACAUCUGGAAGACACAAGGUGCUGCUGCCACCUGGUCUUUGCUUUUGCAGGGCCUUCUGUGCAGGACACUUGGCCUCAAAGCCCAGAGGGAGCCAGUCCAGCCCCAGCUCCCUUGUGCCUUCCGUAGAGGCCUUCCUUGAAGAUGCAUCUAGAGUGUCAGCCUUAUCAGUGUUUGUUAAGCUUAUUCUUUUAAAGUAAGCUUCCUGACAACAUGAAAUUGUUGGGGUUUUCUGGAGUUGUUUGGUUUGUAUGGGAUUUGCUUUAUCCCCAAGCCAAACAGCACAUGACACACGACAGCCACUUAAGACAGUGUGUCACUCGUGGUUAGAGUCCUUUGAUGUUUCUGCCCUAUGGACCCUAUUUGAAGACUAUGUUGUAAUAUCAAACAAUACAAGGAAGCACGUUAUACAGAAAAUGCUCAUAUGUUUAUGAAUUUUGACCAAAAUAAAUAUGAAAUCUUAUAUUAUCCUCCUGUGAAUCAGCUCUGAGUGACAGGAGGCCAGGC
rnacentral:lncRNA from 10 species